UUGACGGGUCCCCGCACAAGCAGCGGAGCGUGUGGUUUAAUUCGAUGCUACGCGAAGAACCUUACCCGGGUUUGACAUACAGGUAGUAGGGAACUGAAAGGGGACGACCCUUCGGGAGCCUGAACAGGUGCUGCAUGGCUGUCGUCAGCUCGUGUCGUGAGAUGUCCGGUUAAGUCCGGUAACGAGCGCAACCCUUGCCGUAUGUUACAAGUGUCAUACGGGACUGCCGGUAUCAAGCCGGAGGAAGGUGGGGAUGACGUCAAGUCAGCAUGGCCUUUAUAUCCGGGGCUACACACACGCUACAAUGGUCAGUACAAUAGGUUGCAAAGCCGCGAGGUGGAGCCAAUCCAUAAAGCUGGCCUCAGUUCAGAUUGCAGGCUGCAACUCGCCUGCAUGAAGUUGGAGUUGCUAGUAACCGCGCGUCAGCCAUAGUGCGGUGAAUACGUUCCCGGGCCUU
rnacentral:rRNA from 1 species